GAGAACAUAACCUUGGUUUUGAACACAAAACACAUGGGACUUGGCCUGGGUGGCGAUACACUGGCAUUCACCCAGGUCUCGGCAAUAUCACAAUACAUCACAUUAACGCACCCGGGUUAUGCCUGCGCGAUCAUCACAAGAACAAUCAAUCAAGUCAUACACAACGCAGUUUUACUAUUCAUGUAUCAAUUCAGCUUAAAUGUUCAGACUUUUGUAUCACUUAUACCAUUUUACAAUUUAUAUAUCACCAGUAUCAUCACUGUUUGUCUACAUUAUAACUCAAGCUUCACCAACAUCAUCACAGUCCAUGCAUCAUCGUAACAUAAUUCACUAGAAUCAUCAGUAUCCACACCAUUCCAACUCUAUCAGUCACACUGAAUCGAAAUUUCAUUUCACUCCACACACCAUUUGAUGUUCACCCAAUAAAAUGUCCCAACAGGUCAGCAGGGCCAUUUCACAGCAUUCCAGGAUCUGAAUACCUGCAACCACCUUUUUGAUCCG